rnacentral:rRNA from 2 species
UGGGGGAUAUUGCGCAAUGGGGGAAACCCUGACGCAGCAACGCCGCGUGAAGGAUGAAGGUCUUCGGAUCGUAAACUUUUGUCUUAUGGGAAGAAUAAUGACGGUACCAUAGGAGGAAGCCACGGCUAACUACGUGCCAGCAGCCGCGGUAAUACGUAGGUGGCAAGCGUUGUCCGGAUUUACUGGGUGUAAAGGGCGUGUAGGCGGGACUGUAGGUCAGAUGUGAAAUACCCGGGCUUAACUCGGGGGCUGCAUUUGAAACCACAGUUCUUGAGUGCUGGAGAGGAAAGCGGAAUUCCUAGUGUAGCGGUGAAAUGCGUAGAUAUUAGGAGGAACACCAGUGGCGAAGGCGGCUUUCUGGACAGUAACUGACGCUGAGGCGCGAAAGCGUGGGGAGCAAACAGG